rnacentral:rRNA from 1 species
GAUGAACGCUGGCGGCGUGCCUAAUACAUGCAAGUCGAGCGAACAGACGAGGAGCUUGCUCCUCUGACGUUAGCGGCGGACGGGUGAGUAACACGUGGAUAACCUACCUAUAAGACUGGGAUAACUUCGGGAAACCGGAGCUAAUACCGGAUAAUAUAUUGAACCGCAUGGUUCAAUAGUGAAAGACGGUUUUGCUGUCACUUAUAGAUGGAUCCGCGCCGCAUUAGCUAGUUGGUAAGGUAACGGCUUACCAAGGCGACGAUGCGUAGCCGACCUGAGAGGGUGAUCGGCCACACUGGAACUGAGACACGGUCCAGACUCCUACGGGAGGCAGCAGUAGGGAAUCUUCCGCAAUAGGCGAAAGCCUGACGGAGCAACGCCGCGUGAGUGAUGAAGGUCUUCGGAUCGUAAAACUCUGUUAUGAGGGAAGAACAAAUGUGUAAGUAACUAUGCACGUCUUGACGGUACCUAAUCAGAAAGCCACGGCUAACUACGUG